AAAGAGUUAAAGUAACUGGAGAUAAAGAAGUAUGCGAAGGAUUUAAUUUCCCAACUACAGAGUACUCCAAAGAAUAUUCUGUAUCUCAAUGAUAUCCUGACCUAUCGAUACGAUAUCCUGUAAAUCCACUC
rnacentral:lncRNA from 1 species